UCAUUUCUGGCGCGAAAAAAUUUCACCCGCGGUACUGGUGAACGGAAUUUGACUCUCGAGAAAGGUCCGGUGAUCCGAUGAUUCACGUUAAUUCGAUGGAUUCAAGCACACAACACUACAUUCUUCGAGACGUUGCAGUCACUACUCCACAUGCUUGAUGCAUGGGACAACUGCACACGCAUUGGAUUUUGUCUUGCAACAUGUUAAAGAUAUACAGAUGAAUUGGAUGAUAUUCCUCCUUACAAGAAUCUGUGAACUACACCACUUAGGAUGGCCAACAUUGAAAACACCAAGAACAAUAAAUGCUGGCGAGGAUGUGGAGAAAGGGGAACCCUCCUACACUGCUGGUGGGAAUGUAGUUCAACCAUUGUGGAAAGCAAUAUGGAGGUUCCUCGAAAAAAUAAAAAUAGAAAUACCAUUUGACCCGGGAAUCCCACUCCUAGGAAUUUACCCAAAGAAUACAAGUUCUUAGAUUCAAAAAGACAUAUGUACCCCUAUGUUUAUUGCAGCACUAUUUACAAUAGCCAAGAUAUGGAAGCAACCUAAGUGUCCAUCAGUAGAUGAAUGGAUAAGAAGAUGUGGUACAUAUACACAAUGGAAUACUAUUCAGCCAUAAGAAAGAAACAAAUCCUACCAUUUGCAACAACAUGGAUGGAGUUGGAGGAAAUUAUGCUCAGUGGAAUAAGCCAGGCAGAGAAAGACAAGUGCCAAAUGAUUUCCCUCAUUUGUGGAGUAUAACAACGAAGCAAAACUGAAGGAACAAAACAGCAACAGACUCACAGACUCCAAGAAGGGACUAGUGGUUACCAAAGGGGA